CCGGGGGUUCGCCUCCGGGUGAGAGUGGCGAACGGGUGAGUAAUGCGUGACCGACCUGCCCCAUACACCGGAAUAGCUCCUGGAAACGGGUGGUAAUGCCGGAUGCUCCGGUUGGAUGCAUGUCCUUCCGGGAAAGAUUCCAUCGGUAUGGGAUGGGGUCGCGUCCUAUCAGCUUGAUGGCGGGGUAACGGCCCACCAUGGCUUCGACGGGUAGCCGGCCUGAGAGGGCGACCGGCCACAUUGGGACUGAGAUACGGCCCAGACUCCUACGGGAGGCAGCAGUGGGGAAUAUUGCACAAUGGGCGCAAGCCUGAUGCAGCGACGCCGCGUGCGGGAUGGAGGCCUUCGGGUUGUAAACCGCUUUUGAUCGGGAGCAAGCCCUUCGGGGUGAGUGUACCCUUCGAAUAAGCACCGGCUAACUACGUGCCAGCAGCCGCGGUAAUACGUAGGGUGCAAGCGUUAUCCGGAAUUAUUGGGCGUAAAGGGCUCGUAGGCGGUUCGUCGCGUCCGGUGUGAAAGCCCAUCGCUUAACGGUGGGUCUGCGCCGGGUACGGGCGGGCUGGAGUGCGGUAGGGGAGACUGGAAUUCCCGGUGUAACGGUGGAAUGUGUAGAUAUCGGGAAGAACACCAAUGGCGAAGGCAGGUCUCUGGGCCGUCACUGACGCUGAGGAGCGAAAGCGUGGGGAGCGAACAGGAUUAGAUACCCUGGUAGUCCACGCCGUAAACGGUGGAUGCUGGAUGUGGGGCCCGUUCCACGGGUUCCGUGUCGGAGCUAACGCGUUAAGCAUCCCGCCUGGGGAGUACGGCCGCAAGGCUAAAACUCAAAGAAAUUGACGGGGGCCCGCACAAGCGGCGGA
rnacentral:rRNA from 1 species